AAUUCCGACAGUGAGAGGAAGGGCCGGAUACAGGAGACGGGAAGAAACAAGCCGAUUAUGUUCGCGUUAAUUAGGUAGUUGGAAGAUGUAAAAUUCUCAAUUCUGCCAACUGAACAUAUACGAGAUUUUAAUGAGGAUGAAUAAUCAGUCGGCAUGGAGGAAACGGACCUUUAUUUGGUGGAGUGGCGACAAGAAGCCAAAAGACGGGUGGCCGGUCUAUGAAGCCUCCAUCAUCAAGCUAGCAGCCCAUGAAAUCGAAUGCAGAUCUUCCUGAUGUGAGAUUUACAUAAAUAUGUCAAAGUCUCAACCUCAUGCUGCCCUCCCCAUCCUCCUAAAGUUCAAUGGUGCGUGUUCUUCUAAUGGCCACCUUCCCACUGGAGGUUUUGAUCCACAGCAAUUUAAAAGGAGCACAGAUCAAAACGGACAUUGGCGCAGAGUGAAGAACUGCCCUUCACAAGGACACUAUGACAGCCAUAUAUAUGGCAGUAAGGAAGAGGUUUCCCAAUGUGUCCAGAAGGGCUUUGAGGAUUGCAGUGAAAGCUGGGGGAACUGAGACUGCUGGAAAAGGAAAAGAAAUUAAAUUUAAAGUAUGUUGACUUAUGUUCACACAAUCACACACACAUAUACACAUACACACACAUAUGUGUACAUAUAUAUAUAUAUACACAUAUAUAUAUGUGUGUCUGUGUUUCUUUUAGAAUGUUUAAGUAUGUAAUGAGAAUAAAAUUAUAAAAUGAAUAUUCC
ensembl:lncRNA